rnacentral:rRNA from 1 species
AUGGUGAGCGCCUUCUUCCUCUUCUGCGGGUGCGUGGAGCAGGCGAACGUGGCGGUGGUCGAGAAGUGGGGCCGCUUCCUCCGCCUCGCCGAGCCGGGCCUCCACUUCUUCAACCCCUUCGCCGGCGAGCUCGUCGCCGGGACCCUCUCCACCCGCGUCCAGUCGCUCGACGUCAAGGUCGAGACCAAGACCAAGGAUAAUGUGUUUGUUCAGCUGAUCUGUACAAUUCAAUACCGGGUUGUUAAGGAGAAUGCAGAUGAUGCGUUCUACGAGUUGCAGAAUCCCCAACAGCAAAUUCAGUCCUACGUCUUUGAUGUGGUUCGAGCCAUAGUUCCAAGAAUGGAGCUGGACAGUCUUUUUGAGCAAAAGAAUGAUGUUGCAAAGGCUGUACUUGAGGAGCUUGAAAAGGUGAUGUCAGAUUACGGUUACAGCAUUGAGCACAUUCUCAUGGUUGACAUCAUCCCUGAUGCUGCUGUCCGCAGAGCAAUGAACGACAUAAAUGCAGCCCAACGGCUCCAGCUUGCGAGUGUCUACAAAGGAGAAGCGGAGAAGAUCCAUCUGGUGAAGAAGGCGGAAGGGGAGGCCGAGGCUAAGUACCUGUCAGGCGUCGGCAUCGCCAAGCAGCGGCAGGCUAUCACGGACGGCCUGCGGGAGAACAUCCUCAACUUCUCGCACUCGGUGUCGGGCACGAGCGCCAAGGAGGUGAUGGACCUGAUCAUGGUCACCCAGUACUUUGACACCAUCAAGGAGCUCGGGGACAACUCGAAGACCACCACGGUGUUCAUCCCCCACGGCCCGGGCCACGUCAAGGACAUCGGCGACCAGAUCCGCACAGGCAUGAUGGAAGCGUCGAGCAGCGGCCUGUAA